ACGCUCGACACCUACGGGAGGCAGCAGUGGGGAAUAUUGCACAAUGGGGGAAACCCUGAUGCAGCGACGCCGCGUGAGCGAAGAAGUAUUUCGGUAUGUAAAGCUCUAUCAGCAGGGAAGAAACUGACGGUACCUGACUAAGAAGCCCCGGCUAACUACGUGCCACAGCCGCGGUAAUCUGAGCGGGCUGGCAAGGC
rnacentral:rRNA from 1 species